rnacentral:misc_RNA from 1 species
AAGUCGUAACAAGGUUUCCGUAGGUGAACCUGCGGAAGGAUCAUUAACACGUAUCCAACGUUAAACCCCCCGUGCAUCUUUAGAGAGCUCUUGUAAGCCCAUUAUGAUAGCAAUCCUGGUAAAUCAGUGGCGAAAGUAGUCUUUGAUUCAGGACCUCUGUCUGGUGAGAACCUAGCGGUAAGCGAGCAAUUGAGCCUUUUAUCGUCAGUCUGGAGUCCUGGCCGGGCGAAUGAAAGUGUCGCUGGACGGUUUCUAGGGUAAGGCUUCGCCAUCACUGGAGGCUCAACACGGGCCGGUGAUGCCCCUUUAUGACGACCAAGUUAAAUAAGGCCUCUACCACAUAGCAAGUGCGCCGUGGUAGAGGAAAACGUACAACUGUUAACAAUGGAUAUCUUGGUUCUC